rnacentral:rRNA from 1 species
GACGAAGGGGGCUAGCGUUGUUCGGAAUUACUGGGCGUAAAGCGCGUGUAGGCGGUUAUCCAAGUCGGGUGUGAAAGCCUUGAGCUCAACUCAGAAAUGCAUUCGGUACUGGGUGACUAGAGGACCGGAGAGGAUAGUGGAAUUCCCAGUGUAGUGGUGAAAUACGUAGAGAUUGGGAAGAACACCAGUGGCGAAGGCGGCUAUCUGGACGGUUUCUGACGCUAAGACGCGAAAGCGUGGGGAGCGAACGAGG